GGGGCGGGGCUAGCUGCCUCCCGGACGCUACCAGAGGAUGGGGAAGCAGCGUCAGAGGGCGGGGCCAAGCAGGGUGACAGAUCCGGACGUGGACAUCUUGGGGAGCCGCCAUGUUGGGGACGCCGGCUACGGGCAGCGGCAGGACCCAAGUUCAAACGCGUUUUCGCACCGCCUUCUUUUCUUCCCUGCCCAGUCUCGGGGCAGCGCCCCCUAGAGACCGGCGAAAAUGGCAAGCGAGGGUCCCUGCGCAGAGUUGGGACUUUCCCUGACACGUGUAGGGAAAUCAGCCUCUCCUCUUGGUAUGGCCCUAAUAACAUGGAGAGGAAGAGAAGAGGGAAUAUCAAGAACACUUCACAGUGGUCUCUUUCCAUCUUCCUUCUGUCAGGCAUUCUAAUAACUAUAUAUUUUUUACAUAGAAAAAAAGACUGGAAGAAAAGCAUCAAUUGAGAUGUCUCUGGAAAGUACAAGUAAUAAUUUGUUUCUUCAAACUU
rnacentral:antisense_RNA from 1 species